CAUGCAAGUCGAGCGGUAACGCGGGAGCAAUCCUGGCGACGAGCGGCGAACGGGUGAGUAAUGCUUCGGAAUCUGCCCAGUAGUAGGGAAUAACCAGCCGAAAGGUUGGCUAAUACCGCAUACGACCUACGGGUGAAAGCCGGGGACCGCAAGGCCUGGCGCUGACAGAUGAGCCCAAGUCGGAUUAGCUAGUUGGUAGGGUAACGGCCUACCAAGGCGACGAUCCGUAACUGGUCUGAGAGGACGACCAGUCACACCGGAACUGAGACACGGUCCGGACUCCUACGGGAGGCAGCAGUGGGGAAUAUUGGACAAUGGGGGAAACCCUGAUCCAGCGACGCCGCGUGGGUGAAGAAGGCCUGCGGGUUGUAAAGCCCUUUCAGUGGGGAAGAAAAGCCUCGACCUAACACGUCGGGGUCUUGACGUAACCCAUAGAAGAAGCACCGGCUAACUCUGUGCCAGCAGCCGCGGUAAUACAGAGGGUGCGAGCGUUAAUCGGAAUUACUGGGCGUAAAGCGCGCGUAGGCGGCUUUGCAAGUCGGGUGUGAAAUCCCCAGGCUUAACCUGGGAACUGCAUUCGAGACUGCAUGGCUAGAGUAUGGGAGAGGGAAGUGGAAUUUCCGGUGUAGCGGUGAAAUGCGUAGAUAUCGGANGGAACAUCAGUGGCGAAAGCGACUUCCUGGNCCAAUACUGACGCUCA
rnacentral:rRNA from 1 species